GUAAGUCAUUGCCCAGGCCACACUGCUCCUCAGAGGCAGAGAUGAGAUCAGAACCCACUUCUGUCUGACCCCAAAGCCUGUGCCAAAUGCCUUGCUCAAUGGCCUCUUGCAGGAAAGGGCAGUGUCCCAUUACAGCCAGACCCUAGCAUAGUACCAGGCUCUGCAGGCUCUGUAUCACUUUCCCAAGGCCCAGAGGGGGCACACCACAAAAUGCUGGGGGCGUAGGAAGAAGAUAUCAGAAAUUCUAGUUGUGAUUUCCUAUUAUCCUAGUAAAAUAUCAACUUUUAUGUCAUUUGUGAUGCAUUUAUUAGCUCAGUAGCACAUUUAUAGAAUUUAUAAAUCAAUAAACCUUCGCAUUGUGGAACACAUGCUUAAGUUCAUUUUACUGAUAUUGAAAAUGAGGAAAAAGACUAGAGUCACAUGUUCAAGACAGUGACCAGGGUCCACCCCAGGGCUCCUCGGGGGCCAGAAAGGACGGCUUGCCGAGGGGGCCUCCAUCUUCCCUGCAGCAUUGUUUGUUCCCCGGGAUCCUUCCAGGCCUGCUCGACUCUCAUCUCAGUCCCCUGUGCAUUUCUGUAGGAAGCUCACUUUUACUAGACCUGAGAGGGCUGGUUGUGUGCUCUGCUGCUGUUUGCCGUCUGCGGGGGCUCUCCAGUGGUCCAGUGGGCAUUACAGGAGCACAGGGAGGAUGAGGGGAAUGAAGCGGGGAGUGAAGGGCACACACACUUAGACCCCACCGGCCACCUACAGAAGGCCUGAGGGGACAGCCCUUUCUGAAGUGAUGCCUUCCUCUGUUGGGAAGCCAGGAGCCUCCCCUGGUGGGAUCCAUGAGGCCCUGGGUGUGGGGCAGGAUAUGUGGGACGGGCACAGAGCCCCUUCCAUUUCCUUCUCAGGCCAGAAUCAUAACUGUCCAUGCAUUCCUUAAAAGCAGAGAGGGACCCUCUCCUUCCCCAUCCAUCAACAGCCUUCGGAGUCUAAUUACAUGCACGGAGCUUCAGUUCCCUUCUCUGUAAAAUGGGGCUAAUACUAAUAAGACCUCUUCAGGGCAGUGUAGGAAGUCAAUGAAACUCCAACAUCUCCAAAACCACCCAGCAGAUCACAGGAUCUUGAAGUAAGCACAGUGUUUGGCAUACAGUAGGCGCUCAUCAAUGCUGGUUCCUUUCACUCUCUGCCACUUGCUGGCUAUGUGUGACUUAACCUCCCAAUGCCUCCGUUUCUUCAUUUUGAAGUGAAAGAUGAUGCCUAUCCUCAACUUCAGACGAGAUCCGGCACGUUCAGGGUGGUAUGGCCGUAGACCCCAACUUCAAAACAACAGGCACACCCAUUCAAUUCAGGUAGCACCCUCCAAAUGUGCCAUGGGCUUAAGAGGCAGGAAGAGAGCCUGGUAUGAGCCCACGGCUUCGGCUCCUGUUGCUCACUCUCUGCAGAUCCUUGUGCAGUUCUCUGGGGUCACUUGCUGGUCUUUUUGAGUUUCAGUUUUCUUAUUUGUAAGCUGGGGAUGGUCAUAUCUCAUUAGAUUUUUUGGAGGACUAAAUGGGACAAUAAAUAUAAAACGCUCAGUACAAAACUUAGUCUAUGGUCAGUGUUCAACAAAUACUAGUCACUGGUAAUAGUAGAACCACCUGCAUUAUGACACUAUUAUUUCUAGGCUCUUAUGAGGAUUCUCAUUUACCAGGCAUACUAGCCCUGCAAAACGGACACUAUUGCUUCCAUUAUACAGAUGAGGAAACUGAGGCUCAGAGAAGCUAAGUAACUUCUUCAAGGUUGCCCAGGCUGGGCGCAGUGGCUCAUGCCUGUAAUCCCAGCACUUGGGAGGCCGAGGAGGGCAGAUUACUUGAGGGGAGGAGUUUGAGGACAGCCUGGCCAACAUGACAAAACCCCGUCAAUAAAAAAUAUAAAAAUCAGCCAGGCGUGGUGGCACAUGCCCGUAGUCCCAGCUACUCAGGAGGCUGAGGCAGGAGAAUCGCUUGAACCAGGGAGGCAGGACUUGAGCAUGCCACUGCACUCCAGCCUGGGCAAUAGAGCAAGACUCUGUCUCAAAAACAACAAAACAAAACCAAACCAAAAAAAGGUUGCCCGGUUGCCCAGUGACAGAGCCAAGUCUUGCUUUCCAAGCUUGGGCUCACUCUCCUACACUAACUACCUGGCCCCAUGCUGCCCAGUCCUGGGCUAGCUGCAGGAGGCUGCCGCAUUACCCACCUCAAGCCACACAAGCACUGGCAGUAACAAGAGGCCGUAGAGAACCUAGAGUUCUCCAGCGGAUGUGGUUCUCUGGCUGCCGUGGGCUGCCAGGGAUCCCUUAGAUCGCGGACUCCACAGUUCUUUCUUGCCACCUCCAGAAGGAGGCUGCAGCCCCAUGAGCCAGGCAGCAGGAAGGGAGGAAGUCUCGCUUCUUGCCAGACACAUUGUUUAACUGCAACAGUCAGUCCUCCAAAAACUCUGCCGGAAGUCCACCCCAGAAACUCAAGGGAGGAAACUGACUGCCUUCUUGGGGUUUUCUUAACUGUGCUUUUUCUGCUCUGCAGGAAAGAUGCAACCUGGGCCAGAGGCCCCUGGAGGUUGUGCCUGAACCCAGACAGAUCACACAAACCUGAGCAGCCAUUAGCCGCUGUGUGGGCUCCUUUGCACUGUGGGGCUGCUCCUGGGGAUAUUUACGUUGUGAACUGGUAAAAUCUGAACUGCAGAAUAUCAAUUUCCAGACAUUCUUCCUAGAUGAUGCCGUCUGCCACGGGUAAGGAUUCAUGAGACCUGAGCAGCCAGCCAGCCCUGAAAUGGUUGGAACAGGAGAAAGAAGAAGAGCUCGACAGAUACCCUGCCUGGGCUGGCAGCUAGCUGCACCACAAGCUGGCCAGCUGACAGCGGGCACAUCCCUUCAUCACCCAGUGCCUUUCUUCCCUCUUGUGAAAAUGGAGAUAUGCUGAGAAGGUUACUUCAGCUCAUCCAGAGAAAGCUUCUUCAGCUAACUAGGCUGUAGAAAGGGCCUACAGCCUAAAUUUUCAAAAACAAGUUAAUGCCAGAAUAUAAACUCCGUGAAGUAACAGAUUGUGUCGGUUUCAUUCCUGCAUGUAUCCCUGGUGCCUAGACAGUGUCUGGCACACAGUAGGUGCUCAACAUUGACUGAAUGUGAGGGAAAAACCUAUGUAGUUCAAUACUAUGUAGACAAGAUCAUAAAUGAUCACUAUUUAAAUUGUGUGUGUUUUCCUUGACAUGAGUAACCAAGAGUCGGCUCCUUCAGGCUGAUAGAAAAUCCUGCUUCCUGGAAAUGAGCAAAUAGAAGAGAUAUCUGCAUUUCCAUGGUUGUUGCAGCUCUGUUCACAACAUCCAAGAUUAGGAAGCAACCCAAGUGUCCAUGAACAGAUGAAUGGACAAAGAAAAUGUGGUACUUACAAUAGAGUGCCAUUCAGCUAUAAAAAAAGAAUGAGAUUAUGGCCAGGCAUGGUGGCUCACACCUGUAAUCCCAGCACUUUGGGAGGCAGAGGCGGGUGGAUCACGAGGUCAAGAGAUCGAGACCAUCCUGGAAAACAUGGUGAAACCCUGUCUCUACUAAAAAUGCAAAAAAAUUAGUUGGGCAUGGUGGCGCAUGUCUGUAAUCCCAGCUACUCGGGAGGCUGAGACAGGGGAACUGCUUGGAACUCAGGAGAUGGAGGUUGAGCUGGGACUGCACCAUUGUACUCUAGCCUGGGCAACAAGAAUAAAACUCCAUCUCAAAAAAAAAAAAAAAAAAAAAAAAAGAGAUUGUGUCAUUUGCAACAACAUGGAUGGUCAUUAAGUGAAAUAAGUCAGGCACAGAAAGACAAACAUCGCAUGUUCUCACUCAUUUGUGGGACCUAAAAAUACACACAAUUGAAUCAUGGAAAUAAAGAGUAGAAGGAUGGUUACCAGAAGAUGGGUAGGGUAGCAGGGUGGUAUGGGGGAGGUGGGGAUGGUUAAUGGGUACAAAAAAACAGGAAGAAUGACUAAGACCUACUAUUCGAUAGCACAACAGGGUGACUACAGUCAAUAAUAAUUUAAUUGUAGAUUUUAAAAUAACCAGAAGAGUAUAAUUGGAUUGUUUGUAACACAAAGGAUGCUUGAGGGGAUGGACACCCCAUUUUCCCUGAUGUAAUUAUUAUACAUUGUAUGCCUCUAUCAAAACAUCUCAUGUACCUCAUGAAUAUAUACAUGUACACACAAAAAUUAAAAAUAAAAAAAGAAAAAGAAAAUUUUGCUAUCUCAGCAAUGGAUUUCCUAGUUGGUGAAGAGAUCUAGGUAUACACUUCUAUUUCAAAUUUAAAAUGUUAAAAAAAAAAGUCUUUACAAUCAUUUUGAUGUGAAAACUUGGUUUUUAAUUAAAAAAAAAAGCAUUCCUGAAAAGGUUUAUGAAAACUGGUUUUCACACCUCUUAUGAAAAAGAAGUGGCUCACACUUAUAAUCCCAGCACUUUGGGAGGCCAAGGCAGGAGGUCACUUGGGGCUAGGAGUUCAAGAUCAGCCCGGGCAACACAGGGAGACCCUGUCUCUAUUAAAAAAAAAAAAAAGAUAGAAAAAGAGGAAUUUUGUUGUAAAUGCACACAUAAAGUGUUCUUAGAAUUUUGGGAGAAGCUUUCAUAAAUAAAGAAUCUCUGUCAAAUGAAUAUAUAUGUAAAUAUAUAUUACCCAAAUAUAGCAAAUAUUUGCCAUAUCAGUAAUCAUUCAUUCAUUAUAUAUUACAGGUAUAUUUUAUUAAAUACACAUAUUAAAGUACAAGUUCUAAAUGUCACCUUUUCCUAUAACAUUUUCCCCAUUCCUAAUGAUGUAUUUCAUCACAAAAAAUUAUACCCAAUGGAUCUCAAAUAGUUUCAGACAUUUUUAACUUUAUAAUCUAAUAUUAACAGUAAACAACAAAGGAUAAAUUUCACUUAAAUUUUAACAGGUUGAAAGAGAGGUAGCUUCAAGUCUGAG
rnacentral:lncRNA from 10 species